UUUUUUUUUUCUUCUUUUGCAGAUCGAUGUGGUACUUUAACUGGUUUUAGUAAUGAGGCCUUUGUUUUUGAUUUUCAACCUCAAGAUCCUGAAAAUAUAUAUGUAGCACUUGCAGUUCUAUCUGGCA